AUGGAUGGCGCUGGUGGGUGGAUGAACUGCGGAGGCACACCACCACGCCGGCCUGGCCGUGGCGGCCGCCGAAGGUGGAGAAGGAGUGGUGAGGGGGAGAGAGAUGGAGAUGUGGCCAGGCCCGAUGGGGAAUGGAGGCAAUCUAGGGAUUUUGAUCCCCUCCCUGAUCUGCAAACUUUACACAUUAGCCCUCCUCCUUCUCUUCUUUCUUCACAAGAAGGUCCUCUCACUUCUUUAGCUAGCCCCCUGGUUACUUCUUUUCAUCUCACACAAGUCUCUUCUUCCUUCUCUUCUUUUCUUCACUCUUCUCGAUAA
rnacentral:rRNA from 1 species